GAUGAACGCUGACAGAAUGCUUAACACAUGCAAGUCAACUUGAACUUCGGUUUGGGUGGCGGACGGGUGAGUCACGCGUAAAGAACUUGCCUCACAGUUAGGGACAACAUUUGGAAACGAAUGCUAAUACCUGAUAUUAUGAUUUUAGGGCAUCCUAGAAUUAUGAAAGCUAUAUGCGCUGUGAGAGAGCUUUGCGUCCCAUUAGCUAGUUGGAGAGGUAACGGCUCACCAAGGCGAUGAUGGGUAGCCGGCCUGAGAGGGUGAACGGCCACAAGGGGACUGAGACACGGCCCUUACUCCUACGGGAGGCAGCAGUGGGGAAUAUUGGACAAUGGACCAAGAGUCUGAUCCAGCAAUUCUGUGUGCACGAUGAAGUUUUUCGGAAUGUAAAGUGCUUUCAGUUGGGAAGAAAAAAAUGACGGUACCAACAGAAGAAGUGACGGCUAAAUACGUG
rnacentral:rRNA from 1 species